GUGAACAUCGUCUAGUGGUUAGGAUCCUUGAGCGUCACUUAAGGGGCCCGGGUUCGAUUCCCGGUGUUCUCG
rnacentral:tRNA from 1 species